rnacentral:rRNA from 1 species
AUUGAACGCGGGCGGCAGGCUUAACACAUGCAAGUCGAGCGAGCGGCGGACGGGUGAGUAAUGUCUGGGAAACUGCCUGAUGGAGGGGGAUAACUACUGGAAACGGGAGCUAAUACCGCAUACCAUCAGAUGUGCCCAGAUGGGAUUCGCUAGUAGGUGGGGUAAUGGCUCAUCUAGGCAACGAUCCCUAGCUGGUCUGAGAGGAUGACCAGCCACACUUGAACUGAGACACGGUCCAGACUCCUACGGUAGGCAGCAGUGGGGAAUAUGGCACAAUGGGCGCAGGCCUGAUGCAGCCAUGCCGCGUGUAUGAUGAAGGACGUCGGGUUGUAAAGUACUUUCAGCGAGGAGGCGUUACUCGCAGAAGAAGCACCGGCUAACUCCGUGCCAGCAGCCGCGGUAAUUC